rnacentral:lncRNA from 1 species
CUCUAUGGGGUCUGUAGGGCAUUAGGGGGUCUGUGAGGUUCUAUGAGGUUUGUGGGGCUCUAUGGGGUCUCUGGGGCACAAUAGGGGUCUGUGGGGCUCUAUGGGGUCUCUAUGGGGUCUGGGGGUCUCUAUGGGGUGUGUGAGGCUCUAUGAGGUCUCUAUGGGGCUCUAUAGGGUCUCUAUGGGGUCUGUAGGGCAUUAGGGGGUCUGUGAGGUUCUAUGGGGUUUGUGGGGCNNNNNNNNNNNNUGGGGUCUCUAUGGGGCUCUAUGGGUCAUUACAGGGUCUAUGAGGCUCUAUGGGGUCUGUGGGGCUCCAUGGGGAUCUGUGGGUCUCUGUGGGGUCUGUAGGGCUCUAUGGGGUCUCUAUGGGGCUCUACAGAGUCUCUAUGGGGUCUGUAGGGCAUUAGGGGUUCUGUGAGGUUCUAUGGGGUUUGUGGGGCUUUAUGGGGUCUCUAUGGGGCUCUAUGGGUCUCUAUGCGUUUCUAUGGGGCUCUAUGGGGUCUGUGGGGCUCUAUGGGGCUCUAUGGGGUCUCUAUGGGGCUCUAUGGGGCACUGUGGUGUGUUAUGGGCUCUUAUGGGAUCUAUGGGUCUCUGCAGGCUUCCAUGGGGCGCUAGGAGGUCUCUAUGGGUCUCUAUGGGGGUGCUAUGGGUCUGUAUGGGGCACUAUGGGGCUCUAUGGGGCACUAUGGGGCUCUAUGGGGUCCCUAUGGGUCUCUAUGGAGAUCUAUGGGAUCUGAGGGGCUCUAUGGGGUUCUGUG